UCGAACUAGCAAUGGCACUUGGAUAUCAGACUCAUAAAACUGCCAUCUGUCUAUCGUCAAAGAAAACUGGCAGUGUGGAAGACAUUGUCUGAUGUGUAAAAGAUGUAUGUGUUGUCUAAUUCUCCAUUCAGUUCCAGUUUCUUCACUAGCUUCUCUAUCAGAUCAUACACUAACAGCAGAGUUUGCCACCUUUCUAUAAGCAUCAUCAAGAAACUGUAUUGAAAAGUUCAGUGAAGUCUUUGCUUGUCAAAUUAACCAGUGCUUGUUCUUCACAUGAAUAUUAAAAUUGCUGUUCAAGGUUUUUCAUGCUUAUUUUAUUAGAAGAAGAAAUUGAUGGGAUAAGCGAAGUCAAAGUAAUGGCCAGUGUUAAACAAAAUGAGCAGCUCUACAGGGACACUGAAAAGGAUUGUCAACUAUUCUGAAACUGCAAAACUGAGUAUGCAGCACAGGGCAGUAGUGUCGGCUUUCAGCGUACCUUUUCACAGGUACAUCCUCUGUAAAACUGUGAUCUUCACUGCGAGAGAGAGCGUUCAAAAGAGAUCACUUGGUUCUCUACUCAGCAUUUGAAUAUUUUGGAUUGAAAGAAAACUGCUGGAUUUUCCUUUCAGCUGCUCUGAGCACUCCUUACCACCAUCUGUGGUUGGCAUAAACACUGCAGAUUCUACACGUGACAGAAAAUUGAGAGAACCACAAUUUGAAGCAAUAAUAUCGUCAGUUCUUUACAUAAGAUUUCUUAAACACAGCAUACAAGUACAGUACUCACACAAGCAUUUCAAAUGUACUGUUUCUUGAUGUUUAAACUCUUCUUUCUGAGAAAAUG
rnacentral:lncRNA from 14 species